AUUGAACGCUGGCGGCAGGCCUAACACAUGCAAGUCGAACGGUAACAGGAAGCAGCUUGCUGCUUCGCUGACGAGUGGCGGACGGGUGAGUAAUGUCUGGGAAACUGCCUGAUGGAGGGGGAUAACUACUGGAAACGGUAGCUAAUACCGCAUAACGUCGCAAGACCAAAGAGGGGGACCUUAGGGCCUCUUGCCAUCGGAUGUGCCCAGAUGGGAUUAGCUAGUAGGUGGGGUAACGGCUCACCUAGGCGACGAUCCCUAGCUGGUCUGAGAGGAUGACCAGCCACACUGGAACUGAUACACGGUCCAGACCCCUACGGGAGGCAGCAGUGGGGAAUAUUGCAAAAUGGGCGCAAGCCUGAUGCAGCCCUGCCGCGUGUAUGAAGAAGGCCUUCCGGUUGUAAAGUUCUUUCAGCGGGGAGGAAGGGAGUAAAGUUAAUACCUUUGCUCAUUGACGUUACCCGCAGAAGAAGCCCCGGCUAACUCCGUG
rnacentral:rRNA from 1 species